AACAGGAGCACGACGCCAUAGAUGUCUAAACGAUGAGGAAUGCAAUGGUGACAGAUGGGGCACUGCAGUUCGGGCACGACUUCUUUUUUUUUUACGACUCCUUUUACGCACAGUAAUACUUCGGGACGUAGGUGUAGUAGCUCGGGGCAGCGUAGGUUGUAG